rnacentral:rRNA from 1 species
UCGGGAAUUUUGGGCAAUGGGGGAAACCCUGACCCAGCAACGCCGCGUGAAGGAUGAAGUAUUUCGGUAUGUAAACUUCGUAAGAAUAGGAAGAAUAAAUGACGGUACUAUUUGUAAGGUCCGGCUAACUACGUGCCAGCAGCCGCGGUAAUACGUAGGGACCAAGCGUUGUUCGGAUUUACUGGGCGUAAAGGGCGCGUAGGCGGUGUGUCAAGUCAGUUGUGAAAUCUCCGAGCUUAACCCGGGAAGUGCAUCCGAAACUGCUCGACUAGAGUCCCGGAGAGGAAGGCAGAAUUCCCAAUGUAGGGGUGAAAUCCGUAGAUAUUGGGAGGAAUACCGGUGGCGAAGGCGGCCUUCUGGACGGUGACUGACACUCAGACGCGAAAGCGUGGGGAGCAAACAGGAUUAGAUACCCAAGUAGUCCCUGAGCGGGCUGGCAAGGCGCAU